rnacentral:rRNA from 1 species
AAUGCUGAAUCAUUCUAGUUUCUGACUUAUCAGCUGACGAUGGUAGGGUAUUGACCUACCAUGGCUCUCACGAGUAACGGAGAAUCAGGGUUCGGUUCCGGAGAGCCCGCCUGAGAGACGGCGGUCACAUCCAAGGAAGGCAGCAGGCGCGUAAAUUACCCAAUGCCAGCUCGGCGAGGUAGUGACAAGAAAUAACGACGCGCUGCACUUAUGUGUAGCGCGCUUGGAAUGAGUACAAUUCAAAACCCUUAACGAUGAUCAAUUGGAGGGCAAGUCUGGUGCCAGCAGCCGCGGUAAUUCCAGCUCCAAUAGCGUAUGUUAACAUUGUUGCUGUUAAAAAGCUCGUAGUUGGACCUCUGGUGGGAGAGGCCGUUUCGGUGAGCGGCGGCUUCGGUCGUCGUCUUUUCGAGCGGUCGUUUUUCAUAUCCCACCUUUCUCGCGGAUCGGCAGCUUUCGGGCUGCCGCGUUCGCGUCUUUCACUGAGAGUAAACUAGAGUGUUCAAAGCAGGCAUUUAUCGCUUGAAUACUAAAGCUUGGAAUGAUGAGAUGGACGUCGCGGAUCUAUUUUGUUGGUUUGCGCCACGACGUAAGUUUAACAGGAACAGUUGGGGGUAUUCGUAUUCCGAUGUCAGAGGUGAAAUUCUUGGAUUCUCGGAAGACGAACGACUGCGAAAGCAUCUACCCAGAAUGUUUUCAUUAAUCAAGAACGAAAGUCAGGGGAUCGAAGAGGAUUAGAUACCCUCGUAGUCUUGACCGUAAACGAUGCCGACUUGGGAUCGGGGGUUUGCUCAUUUUUGACUCUCCCGGCACCAAACGAGAAAUCAAAGUCAUUGGGUUCAGGGGGGAGUAUGGCCGCAAGACUGAAACUUAAAGAAAUUGACGGAAGGGCACACCAGGAGUGGAGCCUGCGGCUUAAUUUGACCCAACGCGGGGAAACUUGCCAGGUCCAGACAUAGUGAGGAUUGACAGAUUGAUAGCUCUUUCUUGAUUCUAUGGGUGGUGGUGCAUGGCCGUUCUUAGUUGGUGGAGUGAUUUGUCUGGUUAAUUCCGAUAACGAACGAGACCGCAGCCUGCUAAAUAGCGCUCGGACUCUCGCGAGUCUUUUGGGGAGCUUCUUAGAGGGACUUUCCGCUUCUAGCGGAAGGAAGUUUGCGGCGAUAACAGGUCUGUGAUGCCCUUCGAUGUUCUGGAACGCACGCGCGCUACACUGACCAUCUCAACGAGUUUUUUCAUCCGUGGUCGGAAGGCCUCGGUAAUCUUCCAACGGUGGUCGUGAUGGGGCUAGAUCAUUGUAAUUAUUGAUCUUCAACGAGGAAUUCCUAGUAAGCGCGGUUCAUCACACCGCAUUGAUUAUGUCCCUGCCCUUUGUACACACCGCCCGUCGCACCUACCGAUUGAACGGUGAGGUUAGAUCUCGGGAUUGCUCCGCUCUUCGGAACGGAGCGAGAACUUGCUCGUACCUUACUGUUUAGAGGAAGGUGAAGUCGUAACAAGGUC